rfam:Defluviitoga tunisiensis isolate L3 genome assembly, chromosome: I
GUUUCCAUUCCUCAUAGGUAGGAUAAGAAC